ACCCUGGGGAGUGCCGCGAACGCCCCGUGAGGCGCCAAGCCCAAGGUUCGCAUGUUCACCCUUGCGCGCGAGGAGACAUGCCUAUG
rfam:Roseobacter sp. SK209-2-6 1101232001820, whole genome shotgun sequence.